rnacentral:rRNA from 1 species
AUACGGAGGAUCCGAGCGUUAUCCGGAUUUAUUGGGUUUAAAGGGUGCGCAGGCGGGAGAUUAAGUCGGCGGUGAAAUUUUGCAGCUCAACUGUAAAAGUGCCUUCGAAACUGGUUUCCUUGAGUGUAGAUGGAGUAGGCGGAAUUUGUGGUGUAGCGGUGGAAUGCAUAGAUAUCACGAGGAACUCCGAUUGCGCAGGCAGCUUACUAAACUACUACUGACGCUCAGGCACGAAGGCGUGGGGAUCAAACAGGAUUAGAUACCCUGGUAGUCCACGCAGUAAACGAUGAUUACUAGCUGUUUGCGAUACAAUGUAAGCGGCUGAGCGAAAGCGUUAAGUAAUCCACCUGGGGAGUACGUUCGCAAGAAUGAAACUCAAAUGAAUUGACGGGG